GGGAAAGGGAGAGAUCAGGUUUGCUUUGCUUUUCCAGGGAAAGAAUGGCACCUGCAUGGGUGCCCUGUGUGUCCAUGGGAUGUCCACAGCCGUGGAAGUUCAUGGAAUCUUGGAGUGGUGUGGCGAUGCCAGACACCUCGCAGUGAUUAAACCAGACAUUUCCCCGGGGGAACCAAGUGUUUCCUUCAUCUCUGGACAGCAGAGCCCAGCAAAACCAGCCUUCCCUGCUGCAGCUCACACACACUCCCUGGUGAAGCAGCUCCUCUCCACAGAGAGCUGUUCCUCAGGGUCCUAAGGAAUAGAGCCUGUCUCCCAGGAAAAGCAAGGCUGGUUAGCUUGGCAAGAAGAGAGCUGAGAGCCCCAGGACUUCCCUUUUCCCUCUGUAACUGGUCAAAUGUUAUUUGCUGUGUCUCUUCAGGAGAGCUUGGUGUUUUCCUUGGAGCAGGAACAGCUGCUGCACGGAGCCUGGGGGCUGGGGGCCUCCAGAAGUGCCUGCUGAUGGGGCUUGGGAGGGCAGGGCAGCCUGAGCAAUUCUCAUCAGCUGGCCCUAAUCCCACACACCAAGACUCAGCCCCUCUCCUGUAGACAUUCCCAAUAAGAUGUCUGGAAAAAGAAACCUUAAAAAACCUCUUAAAAAUCAUCCAAUUCCAACCCCCUGCCAUGGGCAGGGACACCUUCCACUGUCACAGGUUGUUCCAAGCCCUGUCCAGCCUGGCCUUGGACACUUCCAGGGAUGGGGCAGCCACAGCUCCUCUGUGCACCCUGUGCCAGGGCCUCACCACUUUACAGGCAAGAAUUUUUUUUUUCCUAAUAUCUGCCCUAAUAAAUGUGCCCUCUUUCAGUUUGAAGCCAUUCCCCUCUGUCCUAACCCCCUCUGCACAUGGGCAUUGAGCAAAUCCUUUCCCCCAGCAUUCCUAAUUCCUUCAGGAACCAACCCUGCUUUCCAGAGCCAAAUGUAAGGGGGAAAAUAGCAGGAAGAGAAACUGAGGAAAAGAAAAAGGCUUAUUUGUCAGAGACACGACUGGAAGCAUGAGUCUGGCUGCUCACCACAUGAAAAGCCCGUCUGCUGCAUGGAGGUCUUGGAGAAGAAAGGGGGAUCCUGCAGAGCUGGAAGCUGGCAGGGAAGUCUCCCAAGGCAGUGCUGGAGUUGCAGGGUGAUGGGAAUCAAUGCCAGCUUUGUGUACAGGUAGCUGGGCAGGAUUUAUGACCUGCCCAGUGGUGGGAACACAGACCAUGAAUUAAAGCACUGUUGGAGAAUCAGAAGGUUCUGACUUCAGAGCUGCAGUCCUGAGGAAAAGGACAAGGUAGAUUCCUCUACAAGCACUCUAAAAUUAAAGUAGAAUUCCAAAAGUUUCUUUAAAACAUGCAUUUUGUGAGUGCUAGCCCUGUGGAACCCCAGCAGCCCCACCAGGGCUGCCGUAAAUCACACUGGGCUACAAAAACUGCACAGGGAGCAUGGGGCAGCCGUGGUGCUGUGAACAUCAAACACUGCACAAGUGGAAGCCAAAUCUUUUUUUUGAUUCCCCAGCAAAAGAGAGUGACUCCCUCCUUUGGGCAGGAGCUUGGGGUUUGCUCUGGGAUUGCUUCUCAGAGGCACCAACCCAGGAUGGGAAUUCCCAGGCACAGCCCCAGUGGGAACAAACCCAAACAGCACAGCCCCAAACACUCCCUGCACAUGCACAGCCUCCCCAGAAUAAACCAU